GUUACCUUCGGGUAAUGAGGAUGGCGGACGGGUGAGUAACGCGUAAGGAACUUGCCUCUUGGACUGGGACAACUGUUGGAAACGACAGCUAAUACCGGAUAUUAUGAGAUUCUCGCAUGAGAAACUUAUGAAAGCUAUAUGCGCCAAGAGAGAGCCUUGCGUUCCAUUAGCUAGUUGGUGGGGUAACGGCCCACCAAGGCGACGAUGGAUAGCCGGCCUGAGAGGGUGAACGGCCACAAGGGGACUGAGACACGGCCCUUACUCCUACGGGAGGCAGCAGUGGGGAAUAUUGGACAAUGGGCCACAAGCCUGAUCCAGCAAUUCUGUGUGCACGAUGAAGGUCUUCGGAUUGUAAAGUGCUUUCAGUUGGGAAGAAGAAAGUGACGGUACCAACAGAAGAAGCGACGGCUAAAUACGUGCCAGCAGCCGCGGUAAUACGUAUGUCGCAAGCGUUAUCCGGAUUUAUUGGGCGUAAAGCGCGUCUAGGCGGAAAAAUAAGUCUGAUGUUAAAAUGCGGGGCUCAACUCCGUAUUGCGUUGGAAACUGUUUUUCUAGAGUACUGGAGAGGUGGGCGGAACUACAAGUGUAGAGGUGAAAUUCGUAGAUAUUUGUAGGAAUGCCGAUGGAGA
rnacentral:rRNA from 1 species